rnacentral:rRNA from 1 species
UAGGGAAUCUUCCACAAUGGACGCAAGUCUGAUGGAGCAACGCCGCGUGAGUGAAGAAGGUUUUCGGAUCGUAAAGCUCUGUUGUUGGUGAAGAAGGAUAGAGGCAGUAACCGGUCUUUAUUUGACGGUAAUCAACCAGAAAGUCACGGCUAACUACGUGCCAGCAGCCGCGGUAAUACGUAGGUGGCAAGCGUUGUCCGGAUUUAUUGGGCGUAAAGCGAGCGCAGGCGGAAUGAUAAGGUCUGAUGUGAAAGCCCACGGCUCAACCGUGGAACUGCAUCGGAAACUGUCAUUCUUGAGUGCAGAAGAGGAGAGUGGAACUCCAUGUGUAGCGGUGGAAUGCGUAGAUAUAUGGAAGAACACCAGUGGCGAAGGCGGCUCUCUGGUCUGCAACUGACGCUGAGGCUCGAAAGCAUGGGUAGCGAACAGGAU